GAAGUGCGAUAAGCAGUGCGAAUUGCAGAAUUCCGCGAAUCAUCAGAUUUUUGAACGCAAGUUGCGCCGAGUAGUUCGCUAUUCGGCAUGCUUGUUUCAGUGUCGUAACAAUAACACAUCUUAAUGUGAUUGAUAUCUCUACUACUAUGACUUUGUCAUAAUGGUGUAGACAUCUCUCAUGAAAUAAGAAUGUAUAUGUACUAAUACACAAUGAAGUAGUCACAAGUACUUAUGUAUGUGUGAUCUCAUUGUUGUUAUUAGUAAUGAAAUAUACAUAUGAUAUAUACUACAUCUUAUCAAAUGGCAUCUGAAAUCAAGCAAGAUUACCCGCUGAACUUAA
rnacentral:misc_RNA from 1 species